GAGAGAAAAGGUGAUAAGAGGAGAGACUGCAGCAGAGUAGAAAGGAAAGCAACCAGUGUGUGGAAGACUCGAGGAGGGAGGAAUCGAGAAGUACAAGACAGUGAGAAAUUGAAAGGAGAAAAAGAGAGAAGGAGAGGCACUUGCAGCUUCACCACUCCUGAAGCUUCCUCCCUACAGGACAACACAACAUGGCAGAGACAUAUGAACGACACGCUUGUCCAUUGGCGCAGCCACACCAUCCUGACAGCUGCCAAUGAAGAUGCUCACAGGAAGGAAGUGGGGGGUGCUGGCUGCAGACACUCCGACUUGGUGCUCUACCCAGUCCUGCACCCUGCCCCAGCCCCUGCACCCCUACCACAGCCCCUGCA